AGUGAACGCUGGCGGUAGGCCUAACACAUGCAAGUUGAACGGCAGCACAGUAAGAGCUUGCUCUUACGGGUGGCGAGUGGCGGACGGGUGAGGAAUACAUCGGAAUCUACUUUUUCGUGGGGGAUAACGUAGGGAAACUUACGCUAAUACCGCAUACGACCUACGGGUGAAAGCAGGGGAUCUUCGGACCUUGCGCGAUUGAAUGAGCCGAUGUCGGAUUAGCUAGUUGGCGGGGUAAAGGCCCACCAAGGCGACGAUCCGUAGCUGGUCUGAGAGGAUGAUCAGCCACACUGGAACUGAGACACGGUCCAGACUCCUACGGGAGGCAGCAGUGGGGAAUAUUGGACAAUGGGCGCAAGCCUGUUCCAGCCAUACCGCGUGGGUGAAGAAGGCCUUCGGGUUGUAAAGCCCUUUUGUUGGGAAAGAAAAGCAGCAGGUUAAUACCCCGCUGUUCUGACGGUACCCAAAGAAUAAGCACCGGCUAACUUCGUG
rnacentral:rRNA from 1 species